UGGAAGCCCUAUCGAUGAAAAGCAAACGACGGAAUAGGGCCCUGGAUUGCUUGGCUGAAUGGAAGGGAAAAUGAAACAAGCUGAAGACUAUAGGAUGUCAACUGUGGAUACAACUCACAAGCUACCAUAUUGAUGUGACAUGAUGAAGUGGGAAGGAAAGCCAUCUGGAGUUUCACUGGUGAAUUGAUACAUCUUGCACUUAACAUUGUGUAUCCCCUGGACUUUGAUCAAAUGGACAUGGGCUUUCUGAUCUACUGCAGAGUGCCUGGAAAUUCAGGCUCCUAGGAGGAAGGAACUUGCAUUAUCUCAGGUGAGACUUUGGACUUGGACUUUUGGAUUAAUGCCGGAGUGAUAUAAGACUUUGGGGGACUGUUGGGAAGGCCUGAUUGUGUUUUGAAAUGUGAGAACAUGAGAUUUGAGAGGGUCCAGGGGUGGAAUGAUAUGGUUUGGCUGUGACCCCACCCAAAUCUCAUCUUGAAUUGUAAUCCCGAUAAUCCCACCUGUUGAGAAGGGGCCUGGUAAAUGAUGGGAUCAUGGAGGCGUUUUCCCCCAUGCUGUUCUCAUGAUAGUGAGUUCUCAGGAGAUCUGAUGGUUUUAUAAACGGCAGUUUCCCCUAAGCUUUUCUCUCUCUUCUGCUUCCUUGUGAAGAGGUACUUGCUUCUCCUUCACCUUCCAUCAUGAUUGUAAGUUUCCUGAGGCCUCCCCAGCCAUGUGGAAC